UGGGGGAUAUUGCACAAUGGGGGAAACCCUGAUGCAGCGACGCCGCGUGAGCGAAGAAGUAUUUCGGUAUGUAAAGCUCUAUCAGCAGGGAAGAAAAUGACGGUACCUGACUAAGAAGCCCCGGCUAACUACGUGCCAGCAGCCGCGGUAAUACGUAGGGGGCAAGCGUUAUCCGGAUUUACUGGGUGUAAAGGGAGCGUAGACGGAUGUGCAAGUCUGAUGUGAAAUCCCGGGGCUUAACCCCGGAACUGCAUUUGAAACUGUAGGUCUUGAGUGAUGGAGAGGCAGGCGGAAUUCCCGGUGUAGCGGUGGAAUGCGUAGAUAUCGGGAGGAACACCAGUGGCGAAGGCGGCCUGCUGGACAUUAACUGGCGCUGAGGAGCGAAAGCGUGGGGAGCAAACAGGAUUAGAUACCC
rnacentral:rRNA from 1 species